rnacentral:rRNA from 1 species
UACGGAGGGUGCAAGCGUUAUCCGGAUUCACUGGGUUUAAAGGGAGCGCAGGCGGACUUGUAAGUCAGUGGUGAAAUACCUGAGCUUAACUCGGGAACUGCUAUUGAUACUAUAGGUCUUGAAUGUUGUUGAGGUUUGCGGAAUGGGUCAUGUAGCGGUGAAAUGCAUAGAUAUGACCCGGAACACCUAUUGCGAAGGCAGCAGGCUAAACAAAUAUUGACGCUGAGGCUCGAAAGCGUGGGGAUCAAACAGG